CCUACGGGAGGCAGCAGUGAGGAAUAUUGGUCAAUGGGCGCGAGCCUGAACCAGCCAAGUAGCGUGAAGGAUGACUGCCCUACGGGUUGUAAACUUCUGUUAUAAAGGAAUAAAGUGAUGCACGUGUGCCUUUUUGUAUGUACUUUAUGAAUAAGGAUAGGCUAACUCCGUGCCAGCAGCCGCGGUAAUACGGAGGAUCCGAGCGUUAUCCGGAUUUAUUGGGUUUAAAGGGAGCGUAGAGGGGUUGUUAAGUCAGUUGUGAAAGGUGGAGGCUCAACCGUAAAAUUGCAAUUGAUACUGGCAGUCUUGAGUACAGUUGAGGUAGGCGGAAUUCGUGGUGUAGCGGUGAAAUGCUUAGCUAUCACGAAGAACUCCGAUUGCGAAGGCAGCUUACUAAACUGCCACUGACAUUGAUGCUCGAAAGUGUGGGUAUCAAACAGGAGUAGAUACCCGUGUAGUC
rnacentral:rRNA from 1 species